rnacentral:rRNA from 1 species
AUGGCGAACGCCACCCUGCUUCUCCUCAUCACGGUGCUGGCCACGACCAGCGACAUUGCCUCAGCCAUGGCACGCGCCAGCGUGAGCCCCGGGCUGCCGGCAAGGAGGAGUCGUUUCCUGCUUAUUGGCGGGGCUGCCCACCUGCCUCUGUCGGCGUACGAGUGCUCGAAGAAGUCGGCCGAAGCAUGCCUCGCGACGGGGACGACGUGCUGCAACGGCCAGUGCGUGGACACCGUCGCCAGCGCGCAGCACUGCGGCGGCUGCAACAAGGCGUGCAAGCAUGGACGGACGUGUUGUGACGGGCAUUGCGUGGAUCCGCUCUCCGACAAGAAGAACUGCGGCACCUGCUCUAACCAAUGCAGCAAGAAGUGCAGCUACGGCUUCUGUGACUAUGCGCAAUAA